UACGUAGGGUGCAAGCGUUAAUCGGAAUACUGGGCGUAAAGCGUGCGCAGGCGGUGAUGUAAGACAGGUGUGAAAUCCCCGGGCUUAACCUGGGAACUGCAUUUGUGACUGCAUCGCUGGAGUGCGGAAGGGGCAACUGGAAUUCUCGGUGUAGCGGUGAAAUGCGUAGAUAUCGAGAGGAACACCUGCGGCGAAGGCGGGUUGCUGGGCUGACACUGACGCUGAUGCGCGAAAGCCAGGGGAGCGAACGGG
rnacentral:rRNA from 1 species